AGUGAACGCUGGCGGUAGGCCUAACACAUGCAAGUCGAACGGCAGCACAGUAAGAGCUUGCUCUUACGGGUGGCGAGUGGCGGACGGGUGCGGAAUACAUCGGAAUCUACUUUUUCGUGGGGGAUAACGUAGGGACACUUACGCUAAUACCGCAUACGACCUACGGGUGAAAGCAGGGGAUCUUCGGCCCUUGCGCGAUUGAAUGAGCCGAUGUCGGAUUAGCUAGUUGGCGGGGUAAAGGCCCACCAAGGCGACGAUCCGUAGCUGGUCUGAGAGGAUGAUCAGCCACGCUGGAACUGAGACACGGUCCAGACUCCUACGGGAGGCAGCAGUGGGGAAUAUUGGACAAUGGGCGCAAGCCUGAUCCAGCCAUACCGCGUGGGUGAAGAAGGCCUUCGGGUUGUAAAGCCCUUUUGUUGGGAAAGAAAAGCAGCAGGUUAAUACCCCGCUGUUCUGACGGUACCCAAAGAAUAAGCACCGGCUAACUUCGUG
rnacentral:rRNA from 1 species